GGUUCCACUAAAGGUCAUUCGUGGAGCUUUAGUUGAUGAGAUUCACCAAGAGUUUAAUUCAUGGAUCUAUCAGGUUACCAGGCUUUACAAGGACAAAGAACAUGCUGAAGUUGAAUUCACAAUUGGUCCAAUCCCCACAGAUGAUGGUGUUGGGAAAGAGGUCAUCAUGCGAUUGGCAACGAAUAUGGAAACAAACAAAGUUCUCUACACUAAUUCGAAUGGAAGGGA